rfam:Gossypium arboreum cultivar AKA8401 contig_69308_1, whole genome shotgun sequence.
AACCCAUGGUGAGGGCACAUUCUCAAUAAGUCUUUGUAUCUCUUCCAUGCAUUAUAAAAUGUUUCUAAAUCCAUCUACACAAAAGAAGAGAUAUCAUUCCUUAACUU